UCGUCGCUUGAGUUAUUUUGCAAAGACUGCAUAGACUUGAACUCUUGAAUUUUAGUAGAAGCUACCAUAGUUGACGAUAUAAGGUUAUAAAAUUCUUGAUUCCUAGAUUAAAUAACUAUUCAUUGUUAUUAAUUGGGAAAUUCUCCAACAUAAAUAUGGGAAAGAAGACAGGUGUGGUGAUUCUCAUGUUGAUUUCUUUCUUCGUAUUGGUCUCAGCAUAUGGGGAACCAGCUCCCAAUUAUCGAAAUGCAAACCCGCCAGUAUCACAUAAUCCACCAAAAAUGGUGGCGCCCCCACACCCAACUAGCCAUAUGGGAACAAGGAACCGGCUAGCCUGUAACGCUAGCAUAAAUGGCUACUGUGAAGGGUCUAGAGAUAAACUAUACAACGUCGGAAAUAGGCCGUGUACAAAUUACUGCCAAGGGAGAAGAGGUUGACAUUUUAAAGUGAAUGUUAAAAAUUUGCUUUUGUUUAGCUUGGAUUGUGCCAUUACUUAUUUCGAAUUUAUUA